rnacentral:rRNA from 1 species
ACGAACGCUGGCGGCGUGCUUAACACAUGCAAGUCGAACGGAGAUAGUUUGAAAGCUUGCUGAUAACUAUCUUAGUGGCGCACGGGUGAGUAACACGUGGGCAACCUGCCCGGAAGACUGGGAUAACACCUCGAAAGGGGUGCUAAUACCGGAUACCUUCACGAAGUCGCAUGACUUUGUGCAGAAAGAAAUUCGCUUCCGGAUGGGCCCGCGUCCCAUUAGCUAGUUGGCGAGGUAACGGCUCACCAAGGCGACGAUGGGUAGCUG